rnacentral:lncRNA from 1 species
CUCAAACAAACGGGCCCUGUAUUGGAUAUAUUUGGUGUAAUUUAUCAUUUAUGGGAUUGGUUCAAAUGAGAGAGGAAAUAAAUUUUAAUGAAGGGAAAUGAAGAGGGAGUUCAGAUAUGCUCCAUUAGUUUAUCCUCCAUUAGCUUCCAUUAUCUUGUUCAGAUCGUGACACAUGGAUAAAAUUUAUCAAUGGUCCAGAUUUAAAAUGUUCUCUCUUCUUGACACUGUGUAAACUUCUCUCUUCCUUGCAAUACAUCGUUCUUCAUCUUCUUCCUUGUUGCUACAACACUGCUCGGCAUCUCCUCACAACUGGCCGCCGUCAAAUCUCUCUCUAUCCCAACGUUGUCGCCCCACUGGUUUAGAUUAGAUUGAAAAAUCAUAUUCUUGUUAUUCCUUUCACAACAACCUCAUCUUACUUCUCUCUCUCAAUUUUCGUCUUCUCCGUCAAAACAAAACACCUCUCAAUCUCUACGUCGCAUCUCCAUCUCUCUAUCAUUGUGUCUCUCACUAACGGUCGCCGAUAAGACGUCUUCUUCCUCGCCGCUGCCGCCGCGUUGUCUCACCGCCACUUCCCCCUUUUCAAUUGCAUAAAAAUAAACAAUGAAAUUGAAACUAGAAAAACCAUUACAGCAUAAAAUUCAUAGUAUAAUAACAACAAUAAUACCAUGAAAAGCAAUAAUAUUAUAAUAACAACAAUAAUACCUAUUCCCAACUAAUUAAUGUAUCAAAAAAUAACAUGAACAAGAACAAAAAGUUAUAGUUUUAAAAACCAAUAAUACCUUGGCCAAAAAUAGUAGUAGCGGUGAUGCUGGGUCGUCGGAGGAACGGAGAUAUUUUAAAACUGAAAACGGUGAAAAUGACAGCGACGACGGUUGAACGGAUAGAGAAGGGUGACAACUGACAAUGAGAUGGGACGGCGACAUCGUUGGGACGGAGAGAGAUUUGUGUGAGGAGAUGACGGUGUUGCAGCAACAAGGAAGAAGAUGAAGAGCAA